rnacentral:rRNA from 1 species
UACAUAGGGGGCAAGCGUUAUCCGGAUUUACUGGGUGUAAAGGGAGCGUAGACGGCAGAGCAAGUCUGAAGUGAAAGCCCGCGGCCCAACUGCGGGACUGCUUUGGAAACUGCCCGGCUAGAGUGCUGGAGAGGUAAGCGGAAUUCCUAGUGUAGCGGUGAAAUGCGUAGAUAUUAGGAGGAGCACCAGUGGCGAAGGCGGCUUACUGGACAGUAACUGACGUUGAGGCUCGAAAGCGUGGGGAGCAAACAGG